GCCGAGCGCGGCUUCCCGGGGACCCUCCCAGCUCUGAGCGCCCCUGACCCCCCGGAUCCGCAAAGCCACACACACACACACAAGCCCGGUCCCCCGACACGCGGGAGUGGUGGGAGCGACCAGGGCCCCCCCCCCAUCCCUGGCAAACACACACACACGCACGUGUCCCCGGGACGCAGGGGGCGGUGCAGCAAGAAGUAGGAAGCAACAGGAAAGGACACACCAGGAUGACCCCCUCCUUUGGCAGGGGGGCGUUUUCCAUGACAGCCCCCUCCCCUAAACCCACGACCCCCACCCAACAACCAGGCUGAAGCAGGAGGCGGGGCAGGAGGCCUUUGUGAUUCAAAUAACUUAGGCAAGAAAGACUCAGGGGAUCCCCGGCUUGCGUCCCCCAGGAGGCUGAGGUCGGAGGCCCCGCUGCCCCCCACCCUGGCGUCCGCAGCGCGAGGGGACAGGGGAGGGAGGACCGGCCCGGUGUUAUCUGUUCAACGUCCUGGCGCCCAGGCCGCCGUUGUGACUGGAGGGCGGGUCUUGAUGGGCGGCCGAUUGCGGGAGGGCAUCGGGCCGUCCUCGUCAGCGUCCAGGGAGGAGGCGGCGGAGGACGAGGACGACGAGGACGACAGGGAGGACGAGGACGCGCGGGCCCAGGUCACCGAAGGGGAGCCGCCCGCGCCGCCGUGCCGGAUCACCAGCUUGGUGGGCAGGUGCAGAGGGGGCGGGGCCGGGGCCCCGGAUGCUGAGGACGGUGGGGGGCCGUGGCCCGGGAGCCGGUGUCCGACGUCGGAAGAGGCGGCGAUGGGGAGGCCGAGGGAGCGCGAGGAAGACACGUACUCGUCUGCGAACAGAGCGAGGAAAAGCAUGAGGCCCCGCGCAGAGCAGAGACAUGCUCGUCUCCACCCUGUGCUGAAGACCAGUGGCCCCCACAUGUCACAGGGCAGGUCUGUCUUGUGCUUCCAGAAUCCAGCACAGGACUGGGCCCUGGUGUCUGCAGGUCUCUGUCCAACUGGCUCGGGCUCUGGCGUGCC
rnacentral:lncRNA from 1 species